UUCCUAAAAGGGCAAACCAUUCGAAAGAAUGGGACGCAAAACCUUGGGUCUAAGGCAGCAAAGCUGCUAUGAUUGCCAGGUUGCAGGA
rnacentral:ncRNA from 1 species